CCAAAAUGAUGUAAAAAAUUUGCCCCGAAUUACCAUGUGGAUUCAAAAUAUCGAGCUUUUUAACACUGAUUGGU